AUGAAGUGACUGGGAUGACCACAUCCUAAUACAGUGUUACAAGUGGAAGAGAUGCCCUUUUCUCCUAUAACCGUUCCUGGCAGAGACACCUAUAUAUCCGCCCCACUGAAAUUCUCCUGAGUGUGUCGUUAAACAGAAAGUAGAUGCCACCCAGAAACAACAUUCAGAAGAAUAAGGCAUCAGUGUCUUCCCCACAUUUAGUUUGUGACUUGCAGGACAGAUUCUGCCAGAAUGUGAAUAUUUAGGAAUUGCAUACAGAAGGGGUGCUAAAGGUGAAGGCUGCACUUGACGGGAAGGAGACUGAUGUGAAACUAGUGAUAAGAGGGACAGUCAUUUCUGAAUGUCUUCCAGUGGGGUACCG